CUACGGGAGGCAGCAGUAAGGAAUCUUGCGCAAUGGGCGAAAGCCUGACGCAGCGACGCCGCGUGAGUGAUGAAGGCCUUCGGGUUGUAAAGCUCUGUGGAGGGGGAAGAAUAAGGGUGACCUAAUACGUCAUCUGAUGACGGUACCCCUUUAGCAAGCACCGGCUAACUCUGUGCCAGCAGCCGCGGUAAUACAGAGGGUGCAAACGUUGUUCGGAUUUACUGGGCGUAAAGCGCGUGUAGGCGGCUUGGCAAGUCGGGUGUGAAAGCCCUGGGCUCAACCUAGGAAGUGCACUCGAAACUGCCUCGCUGGAGUCUCGGAGAGGAAAGCGGAAUUCUCGGUGUAGAGGUGAAAUUCGUAGAUAUCGAGAGGAACAUCGGUGGCGAAGGCGGCUUUCUGGACGACGACUGACGCUGAGACGCGAAAGCGUGGGGAGCAAACAGGAUUAGAAACCCGUGUAGUCC
rnacentral:rRNA from 1 species